rnacentral:rRNA from 1 species
GACGAACGCUGGCGGCGUGCCUAAUACAUGCAAGUUGAGCGAUGAAGAUUGGUGCUUGCACCAAUUUGAAGAGCAGCGAACGGGUGAGUAACGCGUGGGGAAUCUGCCUUUGAGCGGGGGACAACAUUUGGAAACGAAUGCUAAUACCGCAUAACAACUUUAAACAUAAGUUUUAAGUUUGAAAGAUGCAAUUGCAUCACUCAAAGAUGAUCCCGCGUUGUAUUAGCUAGUUGGUGAGGUAAAGGCUCACCAAGGCGAUGAUACAUAGCCGACCUGAGAGGGUGGUCGGCCACAUUGGGACUGGGACACGGGCCAAACUCCUACGGGAAGCAGCAGGAGGGAAUCUUCGGCAAUGGACGGAAGUCUGGCCGAGCAACGCCGGGUGAGGGAAGAAGGUUUUCGGAUCGUAAAACUCUGUUUGUAGGGAAGAACGUUGGUGAGAGUGGAAAGCUCAUCAAGUGACGGUAACUACCCAGAAAGCGACGGCUAACUACGUG